UGAAUAGGCGUUGCAUUUACUGAACCAGGGAAGUCUUCUGCCUGCCUUUCCACCCCUCCCUCUCUGACUCUUUGCAGGACUUUAGAGGAGCGUUGCAGGAAACUCAAAUGAGAACAGUGCAAGGUUGCUUAGUUUAAGUCCCCUAGCCUAGCUGAAAGCUUUUGACAGUGCUUUUCAGGAUGUCAGCUUCCCUGUUUCUUCCCCAUUUCCUGGUUCCCUGAACUUGUAUGGAGCCUCUGAUGCUGCAACAAGGCAAGGAAGGUGAUAGAUGAUUAAACUGGGUUAAAUGGAAGUGAUUACGUUGGCUUAUCCCUGUCAUGGAAAAAUUCACUGGGACGCAGAAGAGGGAGGAAAUUGCCAGACAGAUGCCAGGAAGUUCUGCUGGAAGGUAUCUGAAAUUGUUUUUCUCCCUGCAAAAAAAAGCUUUGUCCCACCCAGGAUCCACCUGGAUGCCUCAGACUCGCUUUGAAUUUAAUUGCUUUCACCUUGGAAAGCAGUUGCCCCAGCAUUGCACCUGCAUGGCCCACUGCAGGUCUACUUGACCUGGAUUUGAAAGCAUCCCUGAAGAGACUGAGAAGCAAGCAUCUCGCCACCGUCACAACUGCUAACACAGAGGCAGGGUUUUAUUGCAGGGACCGGUGCACAGUUUCCUGCUGUCCAGUUGCCAGGAGCUUGCUUCCUCCAGGUAACAAACAUCCCUGAGCGCUCUAUGCGCUGCCACUCCACUUUACGGAGAUUUGCAGCAGACACCGUGUGGCAGACCCCCCGUCAUAACUUUCGUCUCUUGUGCCAUCAGAGAACCGCCCUGGGGACACGGGGCUGAGACGUCUGUGUGCGAGCAUGUGCGUGCGCCUCUGUGCACACAGCUGUGUUUGUUUUAUGUUGUAUAUAGAAGAAAAUAAGAUUAUUUAUGUUCUAAUCAUUAUGUGUUCCCUGAGCGAAAUAUUUUCUGCUCUGAUUUAUUGCUCUCUUUAGACCUGCCCUCAAGCAUUGUUUUUAUGUUUGGAGAUGAUCACAUUUUUUUUUUCCCAUUUGGAAAUGGAAAUCUUAAAUCUAAUGGCAUAUUAAAUGAAAAAAAAAAAAAAAAAAAAAAAAGUACUUGGAGGAAGGAGGAGUAUCACUUCUCUAUUUUCCUAUUUUUUUUUUCUUUUCUAUUUUUCUUUUACCCUUUCUCCUAUUUUAUCUCUGAAAAAUGGA